UAAUAGUGUAUAUUAAAGUUGUUGCAGUUAAAAAGCUCGUAGUUGAAUGUUGGUGUCGAACGAGCGGUCAGCUUCGGCUGUACUGCUCUCUCGACUCCUUCCUUCUGUGGACUACGUCGCACUUUACUGUGUGGCGCUAGGACGCAGAUCGUUUACUGUGAAAAAAUUAGAGUGUUCAAAGCAGGCCGUACGCUUGAAUACAUUAGCAUGGAAUAAUGGAAUAGGACGUCGGGCCUAUUUUGUUGGUUCUAGGACCGUCGUAAUGAUUAAUAGGGACAGUUGGGGCCGUUUAUAUUCCGUAGUCAGAGGUGAAAUUCUUGGAUUUAUCAAAGAUGAACGAGUGCGAAAGCAUUUACCAGGGAUGUUUUCAUUAA
rnacentral:rRNA from 1 species